rnacentral:rRNA from 1 species
CCUGGGUUGAAACAUUGGUUCUCAUACAAUCACUGAAGUUAAGCAACAUCAAGCCUUGUCAGUACCUAGAUGAGUGACCACUUGGGAAUACCAGAUGCUGUAAG